GUUGCUUUUUCCCCUCCGCCCCGCUUCUCCCAUCUAGUCGCCGGACGGUCGUCCCACGCUGCUCCUCCGCUCGCUGCCUCUCCCAUCGAGAAUCACCCUCUCCUACGAGCGGAUCGCCGCCCUCCAGUCCACCAUGUGCCGUCGCCUCGCCGCCCCUCGAUGCUGCCCCUGUGCAAUGCCGUCCGCUGCAACACAUUACCACGCCCUCCCGACCGCAUACUCCUCGCCUUGCAGCGGCGCCCGACACGCACACCCCCGCACCGGCCCUCUCCAUCUCCCGGCCCCGUCGUCUACCCGUCUCGCCGCUGGCGAGGCAGCCAAGAGGAUCGCGAGCAGCGCAUCCUUUGCCGACUGUAGUGCCCCUCCAGAUGUCAUCCUGCAUCCCCUCUUUGUCUCGCGGGAUGACCCCCAAUGAGCCGGUGUAUUUUUUGUACGAUGAUGGUGGCUUCUCUUCUAUCAAAAAAAAAGUUGAGGCAAGAGCAUGAUUCAGUUGCGAGGGACAAAGGCAAUUCCAGGAUGACAGUAGAAUUUGAUGAGGGAGAAUGAGCUCAACAGUCUUCCAGACUCUGGAUGCAGGCAUGCAACAUUGUAAGUGGACGGGCAACUAAAAUAUAUGAGUCAUUGCUGCCAUCCACGAAAAGACUUGAGUGAGGCAAAGGAAUACAAAAAUAAUUUGCCAGAUGCUACAAAGAUGACUGCAGCAGUCAUGGAUGUAAAAAAGGCGCAUUUCAAUCAUUGAGUUUUAAAUCAUGGACAUGGAGCCAUGGAUUAGUGAAGGAACAUCCUAAAUUGUUCGAAGUUCAGUGGCAGCUAUUUUGUGCACAUCAGUUGCUAUUGGCAGUGGACAGGUUGUCUAUCCAGAGAUCAACUUUAUUGACUUUAGAGUCAAAGGUCAGUGGUUCCACUUUAUGUGGUGAGAGUGCUCACAAUGCAUCUUAAAUUUAGGAGAUAAAUGAACCCAUAAAGGAUUUAACAAUGUAUGUCUUCAUAGGUAUGAACUGUCCGGUGUUCUAGACAGUCCAAAGAAGUUAAAUAUUACAACCGUGUUAACUUUUUUUAGAGAGAGCUGAAUGGUAAAUGCUUCAGGUGGUGAGUUUUAUGUGUAGAUACUGUUUUUUCUUCAAAUAUUAUAUGUGAGAGGAACCAGGAGGGGACGAGCAUGUAAAUCAAGCUUGCCUUUUCCUUGUGUUGCUUUCUUUUGUUCUGAACAUUUUGAAAGUCAUAUGUCUUGCCUUAUAUUACUUACGGUUUGUACCAUCAGCAUGUUCAGGUUUGCCUUAAGGUGGUAAGUCUUAUCCAGUUGCAAGUAGCCCCUUUUGUUACAUAAUUUUUCAUUGCAAUGUUCUCAUGGAUUAUUGGAUAAUAGUCUCUCUGUUGAUUGUUUUGUUUUAGGUAAGGUCAUGAUCAUACACAUAAAAAAUAUGUGAUGGAUACAUGGAGCUUUGCGGAACACCCGGAGUGCGAAGCGUGCUACUACGAGUCCCUAGGUUUCACAGAUCGUCAGCAAG